rnacentral:rRNA from 1 species
UACGGAGUGUGCAAGCGUUACUCGGAAUACUGGCGUAAGGCGUGACGCAGGCGGUGAGUGUAAGACCGAUGUGAAAUCCCCGGGCUUAACCUGGGAACUGCAUUGGUGACUGCAUUGCUGGAGUAUGGCAGAGGGGGGUGGAAUUCCACGUGUAGCAGUGAAAUGCGUAGAGAUGUGGAGGAACACCGAUGGCGAAGGCAGCCCCCUGGGCCAAUACUGACGCCUCAUGCACGAAAGCGUGGGGAGCAAACAGG